rnacentral:rRNA from 1 species
GGAGUGUGUAACAACUCACCUGCCGAAGCAACUAGCCCUGAAAAUGGAUGGCGCUAAAGCUCCGUGCCUAUACCCGGCCGCCGGAAGGCAUAGGCGUGAGCCGCUCUUCUGGGGCGGCGAGCGCGCGAAGCCCCGGCGAGUAGGAGGGCGCGGCGGUGUGCGCGGAAGGGUCUGGGCGCGAGCCUGCCUGGAGCCGCCGCCGGUGCAGAUCUUGGUGGUAGUAGCAAAUACUCAAGCGAGGGCCUUGAGGGCUGAUGUGGAGAAGGGUUUCGUGUGAACAGCCGUUGCACACGAGUCAGUCGAUCCUAAGCCCUAGGAGAAAUCCGAUGUCGAUGCGGGGGGCGGUUUUACACGUGCUCCCCCUCGAUGGGCGAAAGGGAAUCCGGUUCCUAUUCCGGAACCCGGCAGCGGAACCGAAUCUACGGGCCCUCGUCAGAGAAGCUCGUCGGGGUAACCCAAAGGGACCCGGAGACGCCGUCGGGAGACCCGGGCAGAGUUUUCUGUUCUGCAUAAGCGUUCGAGUUCCCUGGAAUCCUCUAGCAGGGAGAUAGGGUUUGGAACGCGAAGAGCACCGCAGUUGCGGCGGUGUCCGGGUCGUCCCCUCGGACCUUGAAAAUCCGGGAGAGGGUCACGCGGAGGUGUCGCGCCGGCUCGUACCCAUAUCCGCAGCAGG